rnacentral:lncRNA from 1 species
UUGUCGACUUUAUAGAGAUGAAAAAUGGCAAGAUCAUUUUUAGUGUAUCAUUGACUUUGGCAAAAAGAAGUGUGUGACACAUAAACGGUCAAAGACACUACACCACAAAAAAAUUGAGUUUGUUUAUCAGGUGUCAUGUGAUAUUGUAACUGAUGGUCAUGUGAUAUUGUAACUGAUGGUCAUGUGAUAUUGUAACUGAUGGUCAUGUGAUAUUAUAACUGAUGGUCAUAUGAAAGAAAUGACUAAACAUCUUGAACAUAAAAUGUUAUUGAAGUUUGUUUUCAAGUUACUAGUACCAUGUUAAUAAAAAUAAAUGCUACAUGUAUUGAUUUUGCAUACAGAUUUACAAAACAUAAUACAUAGAUAUAAGAAGUUGUGGUAUAAGUGGCUAUCUACAUCUACAUCUACAUCUACAUCUACAUGGGUAAUCCGUAAAGAGUCGGUUGACUCAUCACACGAAUGUAUUAAAAUUAAAGUUGUGUCAUCCAAAAUGUG